rnacentral:rRNA from 1 species
UUCUGGCUCAGGAUGAACGCUGGCGGCGUGCCUAACACAUGCAAGUCGAGCGAUUACUUCGGUAAAGAGCGGCGGACGGGUGAGUAACGCGUGGGUAACCUGCCUCAUACACAUGGAUAACAUACCGAAAGGUAUGCUAAUACAGGAUAAUAUAAGAGAUUCACAUGGAUUUCUUAUCAAAGCUCCGGCGGUAUGAGAUGGACCCGCGUCUGAUUAGCUAGUUGGUAAGGUAAUGGCUUACCAAGGCGACGAUCAGUAGCCGACCUGAGAGGGUGAUCGGCCACAUUGGAACUGAGACACGGUCCAAACUCCUACGGGAGGCAGCAGUGGGGAAUAUUGCACAAUGGGCGAAAGCCUGAUGCAAGCAACGCCGCGUGAGUGAUGAAGGCCUUCGGGUCGUAAAACUCUGUCCUCAAGGAAGAUAAUGACGGUACUUGAGGAGGAAGCCCCGGCUAACUACGUGCCAGCAGCAGC